CCCUUCCGGUCUUCGAGACCGCGUCUUCAACUCGCCGCAGGACCCCACGAAAGUGACCAGAAAUGCGGACGAGGCGAAGUGACCCUUGACUAUGAGUACCUUUUGUUCCCUCGGCGGGCUCGCGCCCGUCGCUGGGCCCAUCCAAACCCCUUUGCAGUAGCAGUAUACCUCUGAUCGUGGGCACUUGAAUCUUUA
rnacentral:misc_RNA from 1 species